UUGUGGUUCUCUUCCUAUAUAAAUGCUUCGAGACUCUCCAUCAUUCCUCACACAUCAAAACGAGCUUUCUUCCUUUCUAAUAAAACAGUAACUGCUAGUCUUUCUAAUCUAGGGUUUUCUGCGGGUUGGAGAUAAUUGAAUUCAAGAUUCAUGAGGUUAAAAGGGGAGUUUUUGGGGCAGUCCAGUUCAGUAUUCUUGCUGCAAGGUGAUAAUUAAGUAUGGUCUUUUGGUGAUUUUCUGCAAUUUCACUAGGAAAAACCAAAGAAAGUUCUGUCUUUCGGGUUCAAAAGGACUCCCAAUCGUUCUGCUGUGUUCAUCUUUCAAGGCGGUUGAUCAUCUAGCGGCUUCUACUUCAAGAUUUAGCAUUUUGCCAUCUGAUUCUUCAAUUAAUUUAUCAUGUAUACGGUCCAGAAUAUUAAUCGUUUUAGCAAAAUGAAUUUAUUUAAGAGUAUU